rnacentral:rRNA from 1 species
GAUGAACGCUAGCUACAGGCUUAACACAUGCAAGUCGCGGGGCAGCAUGUAUCUGGCUUGCCAGAUACGAUGGCGACCGGCGCACGGGUGAGUAACGCGUAUCCAACCUGCCCAUAACCACGGCACAGCCCGUCGAAAGGCGGAUUAAUGCCGUAUGAGGUUCCGGCGUAGCAUUAUGGUGGAACGAAAGGAUUGGCGGUUAUGGAUGGGGGAUGCGUCCGAUUAGCUUGUUGGCGGGGUAACGGCCCACCAAGGCGACGAUCGGUAGGGGUUCUGAGAGGCUGAACGGCCACAUUGGGACUGAGAUACGGCCCAGACUCCUACGGGAGGCAGCAGUGGGGAAUAUUGGGCAAGUGGGGGAAACCCUGACCCAGCAACGCCGCGUGAAGGAAGAAGGCC